rnacentral:rRNA from 1 species
UACGGGGGGUGCAAGCGUUAUCCGGAUUCACUGGGUUUAAAGGGUGCGUAGGCGGGCAGGUAAGUCAGUGGUGAAAUCUCCGAGCUUAACUCGGAAACUGCCGUUGAUACUAUUUGUCUUGAAUAUUGUGGAGGUAAGCGGAAUAUGUCAUGUAGCGGUGAAAUGCUUAGAUAUGACAUAGAACACCUAUUGCGAAGGCAGCUUACUACGCAUAUAUUGACGCUGAGGCACGAAAGCGUGGGGAUCAAACAGG